rnacentral:rRNA from 1 species
UACGUAGGAUGCAAGCGUUGUCCGGAAUUAUUGGGCGUAAAGAGCGCGCAGGCGGUCUAUCAAGUCAGAUGUGAAAUAUCCCGGCUUAACCGGGAGGGGUCAUUUGAAACUGGUAGACUAGAGUACAGCAGAGGAUAGCGGAAUUCCCGGUGUAGUGGUGAAAUGCGUAGAUAUCAGGAGGAACACCUGCGGUGUAGACAGCAUGCUGGACCAUUUCUGACGCUGAGGCACGAAAGCGUGGGUAGCAAACAGG